rnacentral:rRNA from 1 species
AUUGAACGCUGGCGGCAGGCCUAACACAUGCAAGUCGCACGAGUGGCGGACGGGUGAGUAAUGUCUGGGAAACUGCCCGAUGGAGGGGGAUAACUACUUGAAACGGUAGCUAAUACCACAUACCAUCGGAUUUCCCCAGAUGGGAUUAGCUAGUAGGUGGGUUAACGGCUCACCUAGGCGACGAUCCCUAGCUGGUCUGACAGGAUGACCAGCAAAACGGGAACUGAGACACGGUCCAGACGCCUACGGGAGGCAGCAGUGGGGAAUAGUGCACAAUGGGCGAAAGCCUGAUGCAGCCAUGCCGCGUGUAUGAAGAAGGCCUUCGGGUUGUAAAGUACUUUCAGCGAGGAGGCGUUACUCGCAGAAGAAGCACCGGCUAACUCCGUGCCAGCAGCCGCGGUAAUUC